UGGCUCAGGACGAACGCUGGCGGCGUGCCUAAUACAUGCAAGUCGAACGGUCUUUCUAUGGAAGCUUGCUUCCACUGAGAAGAUAGUGGCGAACGGGUGAGUAACACGUGGGUAACCUGCCCAUAAGAGGGGGGAUAACAUCCGGAAACGGGUGCUAAUACCGCAUAGUUUCUUGAUCGCAUGAUCGGGAAAGGAAAGACGGCCUUUGUGCUGUCGCUUAUGGAUGGACCCGCGGCGUAUUAGUUAGUUGGUGAGGUAACGGCUCACCAAGACGAUGAUACGUAGCCGACCUGAGAGGGUGAUCGGCCACAUUGGGACUGAGACACGGCCCAAACUCCUACGGGAGGCAGCAGUAGGGAAUCUUCCGCAAUGGACGAAAGUCUGACGGAGCAACGCCGCGUGAGUGAAGAAAGGGUUUUCGGAUCGUAAAACUCUGUUGUCAGAGAAGAACAAGUUGGAGAGUAACUGCUCCAGCCUUGACGGUAUCUGACCAGAAAGCCACGGCUAACUACGUGCCAGCAGCGGC
rnacentral:rRNA from 1 species